AGAGUUUGAUCCUGGCUCAGGACGAACGCUGGCGGCGUGCCUAACACAUGCAAGUCGAACGAAGCUCUGCGAUACAAGACUUCGGUCAAGUUGAACGGAUGACUUAGUGGCGGACGGGUGAGUAACGCGUGAGGAACCUGCCUUUCAGUGGGGGACAACAGUUGGAAACGACUGCUAAUACCGCAUAAUGUAUUCUGACCGCAUGAUCGGAAUACCAAAGAUUUAUUGCUGAAAGAUGGCCUCGCGUCUGAUUAGAUAGUUGGUGAGGUAACGGCUCACCAAGUCGACGAUCAGUAGCCGGACUGAGAGGUUGAACGGCCACAUUGGGACUGAGAUACGGCCCAGACUCCUACGGGAGGCAGCAGUGGGGAAUAUUGGGCAAUGGGCGCAAGCCUGACCCAGCAACGCCGCGUGAAGGAAGAAGGCUUUCGGGUUGUAAACUUCUUUUGUCAGGGAAGAGUAGAAGACGGUACCUGACGAAUAAGCCACGGCUAACUACGUGCCAGCAGCCGCGGUAAUACGUAGGUGGCAAGCGUUGUCCGGAUUUACUGGGUGUAAAGGGCGUGUAGGCGGAGAAGCAAGUCAGAAGUGAAAUCCAUGGGCUUAACCCAUGAACUGCUUUUGAAACUGUUUCCCUUGAGUAUCGGAGAGGCAGGCGGAAUUCCUAGUGUAGCGGUGAAAUGCGUAGAUAUUAGGAGGAACACCAGUGGCGAAGGCGGCCUGCUGGACGACAACUGACGCUGAGGCGCGAAAGCGUGGGGAGCAAACAGGAUUAGAUACCCUGGUAGUCCACGCUGUAAACGAUGAAUACUAGGUGUGGGGGGACUGACCCCUUCCGUGCCGCAGUUAACACAAUAAGUAUUCCACCUGGGGAGUACGACCGCAAGGUUGAAACUCAAAGGAAUUGACGGGGGCCCGCACAAGCAGUGGAUUAUGUGGUUUAAUUCGAAGCAACGCGAAGAACCUUACCAGGGCUUGACAUCCUACUAACGAAGUAGAGAUACAUUAGGUGCCCUUCGGGGAAAGUAGAGACAGGUGGUGCAUGGUUGUCGUCAGCU
rnacentral:rRNA from 1 species